GUUAGCUUGCUGACUAUAACAGAGGGAUGCUAUGUUAGCUUGCUGACUAUAACAGAGGGAUGCUAUGUUAGCUUGCUGACUAUGGCUAUCCAAUAUAGAGGGAUGCUAUGUUAGCUUGCUGAGUAUGGAAAUCCAUCACUGGAACUCUUCCAAGUGUAGGUAAGCUUUUGGUUUUAUUAAUUUAUUGCCACGGGGCCCCGCCGGUGUAACUGAUAAACUGCUUUCUGACUGUACAUUGUAUUGCACGAUUGUUAGUAACUCAAAUGAGAACUUGUUCUCAACUAGCCUACCUGGUUAAAUAAAGGUGAAAUAAAAAAAAUGACUUGUUUUCUAAAAAUGCAACAUGCAACAAUUGCAACGAUAUGUUAGCUUUUAUUAGAGAGUCAGCCCCAGUCCUUAGCCCUUAGGGGGCUUAAUGCAGGCUACCACUGUCAACCUACCAAUUGUGCCCAGAGUGCAAUUUCUAAAAAGAUAAAGACAUAUAGACAAUCAUAUGUUUGACUAUUAAUCCCUUUUCAGCUACAUGAGCAGGUGCUGUUUGAGUACCACCUGUAAUUAUAUUAACACUUGUUUGUCCUACCAGGUGACUGUGAGAUGGCUCUCUGUGUCAGCUGUUUUGAUAGAGUUGCAAACCACUGUCGAUCUCAUCAAGGGAAAGCUGAUGUCACCUGAUUUCACCUUUAUCCAGCAGAGCAGAUGGCAGAGGGGAGGGUUGUGGGGUUCUUCAGCCACUGAAACAAAUUAACCAACUCACGACCUGGAGGAUCGCUCCGAUUUGAUCCGUGAUGUCUCUCCCUGGGGGAAGUCAUCUUGUGUGUCAGUGGCAAAAUAUGAUGAUGGAGGGAAACUGCGUGUCUGUCUGGGUCAGGAGAUUCCUUAGCCUUGAGUUGCAAACCCCCCCCCCCCUUUUGGCCUUCAGAACAUCCUCAAUUCUUCAGGUCAUGGACUCUACAAGGUGUCGAUAGCGUUCCACAGGGAACGCAUGGCCCAUAUUGACUCCAAUGCUUCCCACAGUUGUGUCAAGUUGACU
ensembl:lncRNA